rnacentral:snRNA from 1 species
GUGCUCCCUUCGGCAGCACACAUACUAAAACUGGAGCAAUACAGAGAAGAUUAGCAUGGCCCCUGCGCAAGGAUGACGCGCAAAUUCGUGUUUCAUAUUUUU